rfam:Camelus ferus unplaced genomic scaffold scaffold2080, whole genome shotgun sequence.
GAGGGUAUAGCUCAGUGGUGAAGUAUGUGCCUAGCAUGCAUGAGGUCCUGGGUUCAAUCCCCAGCAUCUCCA